rnacentral:rRNA from 1 species
AUUGAACGCUGGCGGUAUGCUUAACACAUGCAAGUCGAACGGCAGCAUGGUCUAGCUUGCUAGACUGAUGGCGAGUGGCGGACGGGUGAGUAACGCGUAGGAAUAUGCCUUGAAGAGUGGGGCAACUUGGGGAAACUCAAGCUAAUACCGCAUGUACUCGAGAGAGUAAAGCUGGGGACCUUUAGGCCUGGCGCUUUAAGAUUCGCCUGCGUCCGAUUAGCUAGUUGGUUGGGUAAAGGCCUACCAAGGCGACGAUCGGUAGCUGGUCUGAGAGGAUGAUAAGCCACACUGGAACUGAGAGACGGUCCAGACUCCUACGGGAGGCAGCAGUGAGGAAUAUUGGACAAUGGGGGGAACCCUGAUCCAGCAAUGCCGCGUGUGUGGAGAAGGCCUGAGGGCUGUAAAGCACUUUCAGUGGGGAGGAGGUUUGGAAGGUUAAGAGCUAUUCAAAUGGACGUUACCCACAGAAGAAGCACCGGCUAACUCCGUGCCAGCCGCCGCCGUAA